rnacentral:misc_RNA from 1 species
ACGGAUGAUGGCGACUACAACGUCAAGCUGCGCAACCUGCGACGCUUCCUGGAGGAUGGGGAUAAGACCAAGAUCACGCUGCGUUUCCGCGGUCGUGAGAUGGCCCACCAGGAAAUCGGCGCGCGCAUGCUCGAGCGUCUGAAGGCUGACCUGGAAGAGCUGGGUCAGGUCGAGCAGAUGCCGAAGAUGGAAGGUCGCCAGAUGGUGAUGGUGCUGGCUCCCAAGAAGAAGAAGUAAUUCCUGUGUGGGGCGACGGCCGGGAUGCCGGGGGUAUCCCGGCGUCGCCCUGCGCGGAAACCGUGCGUGGUGUACGGGGUUUGCAC